rnacentral:lncRNA from 1 species
GCUAAAGCCACAGAGUCCCAACACAUAGACACCUUUUGCCUAGCCAUGUUCCUUUCUGUGUCUGCAUCUUCUUGGUCUCCCUAUACCAGGCUUCUCUGGGACCAAAUUAGCACAGGUUUCCACUGUACCUUCACACAUGGUCAUGAGGCAUCUUCAUCCACUGCUUUUCCAGGGAAUACAGUUUAAAAGCACACCUUUAAUCCCAGCACUUGGGAGGCAGAGGCAGGCGAAUUUCGGAGUUCGAGGCCAGCCUGGUCUACAGAGUGAGUUCCAGGACAGCCAGGGCUAUACAGAGAAACCCUGUCUCAAAAAACAAAACAACAACAACAACAACUGAGCACUGUGGACUAGAUAACAGUAAUCAGAAAACUUCCCUAACUUAACACUGUCCCCAGAAAUGUUUCCUUAGACAUUUAUGUUCUGAAAGCCAGAGGCUGAAAGCAAGGCAUGGUGGCACUCACUGCUAAUGACUUUAGAGGCUGAGAUGGGAGCUCAGGUUUGAAACCAGUGUAGGCAACAUAGCAAGACACUUUCUCAAUAAAUAACCAAACAGAUAUUUUUAAGGCAGAAGGAACCAUUCCCCCACCAGAAUGGCCCAAUGAAGAGAUGGGAAUCUUCCACAGGGGCUGAAAAGUUUUGCUUUUAACACAAACACUUCAGCCUCCCAUUCUUGGAGAUCCCCUCUUACAAAGGCACUGCUGCAAAGCUCCUUUCCCGGCCUGUCCUCACCCAGCCCCCAAGUUGCUCAAGGCCCAGCCAGCCACCCAAUUUUACAUGUCUAAAUCUGAAAUCAAAGUCCCCGGCAGGGAAAGGGAUUGUCACAAGUAAUUGCAACAUCCCACAAGAAUUUGGAAGUUAAAGGGAGCCAAACCUGGGCCUUCUCCAAAGCUUGCAAGUCUGAGCUUUUUGAGAACCACAUUUGAUCCUUCCAAAGUGUUAAAUGUAAAUGUCUGUCUUGGGCCUGCCUGGAAGCUCUAGGGGACUGUGUAUGGCCCCCUGCUAGCCCACUGUGGUGACAGGUGCAAUAUUUCCUUGAAAGAGGACAGAGUAAGGAAAGGCCUGCCAUGAGCCAUAGGCCCUCAGAAGUGGUUUCUGAACAGCACCCAUGGGAGGAAGGAUCAGAAAAUCUGUGAGAGUCAGGACCUGGAUGGAUGCAAGGGGAGACAUGGAUGGGAGGAAAAAGGCCUGGCAUUCUGCUUCACCUAUACAUCCUUUCUUAGUAGCUUACAUACUAGCUGCCCUUUCCCUAGCUCCUGCAUUUCCUUAUCUCAUUGCAUUUCCACAUUUUGCCUUUAGAGACAUCAUUCUGAGAUUAUACCUACCCUCUCUUUUCACAUAUAGGGGUUAAAAAAAAAAAGCUAUCUUAAAAAACAAAACACUGAAGCUGAGUGUGAUGGCAUUUACAUGUAACCCAGGCACUAGACAGGCUGAGGCAAGUGGAUCAAGACUUUGAGGACUUAGUAGUCAAACCCUGUCUCACAACUGGAGAUAAGGGUGCUAGAGAGCUGGUACAGUGCAGUGCUAAGAGCACUGGCUGCUCUUCCAGAGGACCCAGGUUCUAUUCCCAACACAUAUAUGCUGUCAAAACCACUGUAACUCCAGUUUUAGGGUAUAUGACACCCUUUUCUGGCUUCCUUGGGUAUCAGACACACACAUGGUACAUAGACAUAUAUGUAGACAGACACCCAUACACGUAAAAUAUUUCAAGGGUAGCCUGUUGAUACAGUCAUUACCAUCUUCUUCAUAUCAAAUAGUAGCACUUGGUCCUUUGUGCAGGGCAAUAAACAUUAAUUAUGUGAAUCCUCUCAACAUCCCCCCUUUUAUGUUUUUGUUUGUUUGGUUUGGUUAUUUUUUGUUUUUGUUUUGUUUUGUUUGUAGACAGGGUCUCUCUAUGUAGAACUUGCUGUGUAGACCAAGUUGGCCUUUAGCUCACAGAGAUCCUCCUGCCUCUGAAUGCUGAGAUUAAAGGCAUGUGCCACCACUGCCUAGUGAGGCCAAUAUUUCUAUUUCCCAUCAAACAAAGAGACCAGGCCUGGCAAGAUGAAGUGGCCUGCUCCUGCAUCCCAGUUGUUUGUCUAUCAGAGGACCUGGGGAAACAUCACCGUGGCACAUCUUUCUUCCUCACAGAAGAAAGGAAGGACAACGCAGUGACAUCCCCAGCAGUUUAAAGUAUCCAGGCAUGGUUGAAAGGGAUGUUCCUACCACAUCUUCCCAGGCUUCCAGGCUUCCCCAGGUAAUCCAGCACUACUGAUGUAUGGUACCUUGGGGAUGAGGAUUAAGAGGAGAGGAAAUGGAGGGUUGUAAUUUAGAUACAUUGUUACAAGCAUGUGGUACCCAAGAGGCCUUUGAACUCUAUUUCCUCCUAGUUCUUCAGGUUGUUUCAAAGGAGUGACAUAAUUUCUCACUGACACUACUCAAUGGCCUCAAAAAAUAUAUAAAUAAAUAAAUAAUUGAAGAAGUCCAGAUCAGACAAAGCAAGAUUUUCUGCUUGGAAGCCAAGAGUAUAACUGACCCUCAGAGUCAAUUAAUAUUUACGGAGUUACCCACAGUGCAUGACGCCAAGGCUGCUGUAUGUUAUCUGUAUCAGCGUAGGGAGCAGACUUCACCCCCUUGAUCCUGGCAUGAGCAGGGAACAAGAGCCAAGGAGGAGUGUCUGACGGGUCUCUGAGCCACUGUGAGGAAUGAGAACAUCCUAAGUCUGCGAUCAUGCUAACCACAGCCCUGGUGCACAGGAGACUUAGAGACUGAUGGCUGUGUUCAUAAUUUAAAAAACAAAAAAACCAAAAAGGAGUGGCAGAGAAGGUGGCUAGAAGAUCAUGUCCCUCUCUGGGGCGGAUUCGAUGGGACAGAGGUGUAAUGGGAACAGAAGCUACAGGGGACACGUGCCCUCAGCUGUAUUCGCUAAGCAUCACCCAUGAGUAAGUGAGGUAAAGAUCUUCCUGCUUUUCACCUAGUCCUUCCCAGGAGAAGGAGCACGGAGUGACUGAUGCUGGAGGAGGUCAGGCCUCACGAGUAAACAGACUCACUUUAGCUGUGGCUUGGCUGCAAAAGAAAGAAAACCUGGCCUGGGCAAAAGAGCACUAGAAUGUGUGGUCCUAUAGGCCAUAGCCCCUCUUCCCUCCCCUUGCCCUCUUCUGUGUAUUCGAGAACCACACUUUUAUCCUGAAGCCUUUAUGCCUGCCACUUUUCCUAGAUGGUACUUCAUUGGGCUCUUAGCCAGAGCUAGCCCUCACUCAUGGAGUGUCCGGACAAAGCCAUUACUGUGACAGGAUCUUGCCCUAGUGCUUGCCCUCUUGGUGUCCUCCUGGACUGCCAUACCUGACAAGUAUCUCACAGCUUACCCUAACUUUCAGUGUUAGGUGGCAUGGGAGUUCCAUGCUCCAAGCUGCCUUUAUGGGUGUUAGUUCAGAAAUGGCAGCUCUUGACUCUUCUGGAGCCUCCACUCCCUUCCCCAUGGAAGUGACAGCGCAGCCAGAUGUGUCUGGCAUUUUCAGAUGGACUGCUGGGUUUGACCUAUCGGGGUCAGGUUGUAGGGGUUACCAUGAGGCAGCCCCCUCCCCCAGGCAUGGACAGGCUCUUCAGGAAGCCACGAUCAAGUAAGUAGACCUGCGGCUGAAAUAAGACUCAGUGGUAAGUCUGUCUCAAGGCCAGAAAAAUGGCUUCUUAAGUCAAAGAAUGGAGUGUGAUUAGCCUGAGACCUUCCCCACCCAGGUUUCGACAGGAACGCACAGGAAAGCCUGCAAGUGUGUUCUAGGUUUGUCGUCUCUGUACGAAAUCAGAGUCUGUGUGGAUGAGAACUGCUCAGCCACCUGAAUGACUGAUGGGGAAAUAGAAUGAGUAAUGGGGCAGAAACUGACAUAGCCACAUUGUCAGCUAUGGUCCCCUCUGAUGGCUCUAAGGGUCAGAAAUUCCUGCGCCCCCUGCUGGUCCCUCAGUCAGGUUUUUGGCUUCCUCCCCAGGAGCCUUCCGGGUCUUCCUUUCUUGCUGCCCUGUCCUGGAAUGGCUGCUUCAUGGUUUGCAGCAUUUUUGCCUUUGAACCUAAUGGGGAGCUGCUUUCCUGCUCCACCUCAAGUGUUUCUUCCUUCCUGACAGAUACUCCUGAGUCUCACCAGAUUCUAAAAGCCCAGGACGUGUACCUCCCAAUGGAUGCUGCUCAGGAUUGGAAGUGGCAGCCUUUCCUGAAUGCUUGCUUGCCUGCCUCCCCUAGAGAGGCUUCCUCCCUCACAUUUCUCAAUGCUGAGCCAUACCUUCAUUGGGCCUCUGAGUUUGGCCACCCUCCUUUCCCAACCAGCCCUCCAUUCCACUUCAGACAGACCAGGAGUAUUCUCAGUUUUUCUCUACACACUCUGUCCAGUUGGGGCAUUUUGAUUGCUCAGUGUUCAUUAUCUACCCUCAGCAUCCAUUCCCUCCCACCGUCCCCGCCCCCAGCACCUGCUGCUAGGCCUUUUGCUGUGUCUGUUGUCUCUCAGUUGUAUUGGCCUUAGGAGACUGAAAGCACCCAUAGGUUGAAAGCUUUAACUCCCAUAAAGCUAGGACAGUGCCAUUCUCCCUAGGGGCAUUCAAGGACCUUUCUGAACGCUGUGUCUCUCCUGAGGAAACCUCACACCCACUUCCUCGGAGCUCUCCUGGGUGUGGCAGGCCCAACUUGGCUGGAGCCAAGACUGUCAUUGUCAGGUCACCGCAGGAGGGGAGGGGCUUUGAUUUCCCAGGAGAUUGGGUCAAAGUGGGAGCCCGAUGGAAGAUGAGACCCCUAGGUGUUCUCCUUCCAUCACACCGUGGAGAGACUCAAACGGGAUUUGGAGCAUACGGACCCAGAGACAACCUCAAGUCUCAUGAUGGUUCUACCCCAUUAUCUGCCCCUAUUCCUCCCCAAGGCCGCUUGCCUCCCUGGUUCCCAGCCCGGCGCCAGAUUCUGGCGUGACCUCGGGCGGCGCCCAGUGCUGCUGUGGACAGCUCAUUCCGCUGCGAAGACGGCCGCGCCCUGCGUGUCCCGGCGCCACCAGGGGGCGAAUGCGGUGCCCGGCGGUUCCUGGGGCCCCGGCGCGGCCGCACGGCGCUCGGGAAGGUCCGGCGGGGUAAGACGCUGCCUUCGGCGACCUCCAACCCGACCCUCAGGCGCGCCUCAUUGCUUGGGGCUCCCAGGCCAGGGGAUGGGAUGCGGCCACGUCUCCCCGGUGUCGGGGCACAGUGUGCGCGGGGGCAGAGCGGGCUCUUGGCGCUACCUCCCGCCCAUCCGGCCCCCUUGGCUGCCUGGGCCCAGCCUCGCGGUCGCCCACACCUCGAAGCCGGAGGCCGAGUAGGCCGCAUCCCGGGCGCCGCGAGCCGAGGACGCUGGAAUGUCAGGAGGGGUGAAGAAAGACGCAGCUUGCACCCCCGCUCUCUUCUCACCCCUCGACAGAGGACGGGAGGGCCAGUCUCUGCCGGGUGCGAGGGGCGGACCCCGCGCCCGUUGCUGGCGGCUCUGCGGCUCUCGGGCGCGGCGCGCACCUGUUAGCGCGGGCCUCCGCCUGCAGCCCCGGAGCGCGCGCGGCCUCCCGCGGCAUAGGCCACCCGGGGACAGUAGCCUCCCAACAUGGAACCGAUCAGCUUUAGGUUGUAAAGGAAAAUAACCGGGGAUGGGGGGUGGGUGGGAAGAGGGGUGGGUAGAGGGUGAAAGGGGUGAGUUUACAGUUACAUUCCAGGGCUGCUCCCUGAAUCGCCUGGAUGUUGCAGCUAACACCCCAGCAGUUCACGACAGUUCCAGGCCCGCAUUAGACAGACGGGUAAGAGGUUCUUUUCAUGGAGAGAUACCGUGGAAUAACAAAUCAACCGUUAUGGAAACUGCCAGUGUAGGAGGUGGGGAGCAGGAGGUGCUCUCACUGUGUCCACACUAACCUUCAUCUUCCUAGGUAUUUCUGUUGAUGAAGAAAUCCUUCCUUUCCAAAAAUGAAGUCAGGCUAAGAUUUCAUUUUAAAGGGAGUCCUUGAAGUAGCACAUCUCUGCUUGUGUGCUGAUCCGAUCCUCACGUUUUUUUUUUUUUUUUUUUUUUGGUUCAGUUGGUUUAGUAAUUCCUCGAGUUAAAGGAUAAAUUAACUCUCAAGUCUCACGUAAGCAUCAGUUUUAUGUCCAAGAAUUCAGAAUAGCUUUCCAUCUUGGGAAUGUCAUGUCAAAUCUGAAUCAACCUGUAUUCUGAUUCAUAGCUGAUCAGGUAGACACUCAAAUCCUUGAGGGAGGGAGAGGAUCCUGAAUAAGGAAGGGUGCUCCACUGCACUCUGGGAAGUCCACAAGAGACUUGGCCUCCCAAGCAGCUUUGAGACAGUAUUAAAGUCAAGUAUGGUCCCUGCCAUCCUAAUAGCACCACUCUGCAUGUUUACCUGCCUGUGGCAGAUGCAGAAUCAGUAGAGAAUGACAAACAAUGAUAAAGAAUUCUAGAAUGUUUAGAGCAUAUGGGCGGUGGGGGGGGGGGGGAGCAGCGAGAGGAGAAGGCAGUUUAGUGGAAGGGCUCAUCCCUGACAGAACGUCUCUCCACAGGAGGCUAUAAUGUCCUUAAUGGUCACUCAAGUCUCCUGGCCAGCUUAGUGGUGACAGACUUCAACUUGUCCUCCAUCAGGAGGAGUUAGGGUUUGGAACUUGUAAUUAAAACUUCUAAGACAGGAGAAUAGGUUUUUGUACACUAAUAUUUGCUCACUGCCCUUCUCAGGUAGCCUCCAUACCCCUGGCCCUCUGACUCAUUUUCAAGGUCUAGCUGGGAUAGACCCCCAUCCCUCAGUAGAGUGGCAGGACUGAGGCAGCAGAGCUCCAGGCUUGGGACCCUUCCAACAGCACAGGCAUCCCAGAUGCAGGCGUCUGCUUGGAUUGUGUUUCUCUUCUGCUCCACAGUCUAGCUUGGAUCUGGGUGGGGUGGGCUAUCCUGCUUCCAGGUAAACCAGAAGACUGCUGUGUGAAGGAUUUGUACAGAGAUGCAAGAAGCAGCCCGGUAGCCCAGCCCUCCACAGACUGGCUUGGUUAAAGUUGAGAAUCCCUCUGCUCCCCUGAGCCUGUGGGCAAGAGUCCUCAGAAAGGCAAGCUCCUCAUCACAGUGGGAAUACCAUCCGCACCAUGGCUGAAGGAUGGGAAGGUAUUCUGUAUGGUACUGGGAACUUGAAGUCAGCCUUAAAGAGCAACAAUGUGGCCAGAAUCACCAAGUGCACUGAGUCUUUGUGUAUAGUCUCUUUUUUUCCCUAGAGACGGCUCCAGGGUGGCUCCAGGGUGGUCUGUCGGGGAAUGGGAGUCCCUCUGCAGACAUAUAAGUACCCAUGCCAAAACAACACAGCCUGUAGUGGUGAGGCAGCCUUUAAACUUAGUUUGCUUCUCUUAUUACAACCCAGGCAUCCCUCCCAAGCCAUCCCUCCUGCUCCUCAGCAUAUGGAAGUAGUGUGCAAAAAGGAAUGGCAGUUGCUACCUUGGAUCCCAGGGGCCCUGUUCCUCCCUUAUCUUAGUUCAUUCAACUUCUCUAUAAGGUAUUGUAGGUGUUAAACAGAUUCAUUGUCAGACUGGGCAGCACUGAAGAAUCCUGAGUAAGUGCUGGGAAGACAACAAAACCAACCAACCAACCAACCAAACCUUAAUGUUUAACUCGGAGCUAAAUGCAUGAUUAUUAUUUAAUCCUUUUAGAUUAAUUAGUUAUUUAACCCUAUUUAUUUAGCCCUUGCAAGUCUCUAAGAGAUGUGUAUUGUUGUUAUUCAACUUUUUGUAGCUUAGGAAAUAAGGCUUAGUGUGGUGGCAUAUGCCUUUAAUCCCAGCACUCAGGAGGCAGAGGCAGGUAGAUCUCUGAGUUCCAGGCUAGCUUGGUCUACAAAGGAAGUUAAAGGAAACCCAGGACUAUACAGAGAAACUCAGUCUCUACAGGUGGGUGGGUUGUUGUUCAAGAUCACCCAGCCCGUUGGCUUCUGGGGUUCAUGAUUUCUAUUCCUCCAUCAUCCUAACCCCCGGGUCCCUGUGCAUGGGAGGGGCAUUGGAGAAAAAGAAUGAGUGUAUUGGCCAUCCUCUGCCUUUCCCCCACAUCCUUCUACUCUCUCGGAGUUGGUCUCCUUCCCUCUGAAUGAGGUCACUUAAAGGUGGCCAGCAGUCCCUCUAGGUGUUGUUGGGUAGAGCAGCGAUGGGUUAUCAGCUCUCGGAUUCCAUGCUUCUGGUGGCUGACCUCCCCACCUACCUGGCUACAUGCCUCUACCCUGGACCUAACUAGUGACCUCCCAACAGCCCCAGCACCUAGCAGGUAAGCAACCGAGGACCCAUAAACCUGGAGGUAGCCUCUAACCCAGCACUAACUCAGCACAGCCGAGUGAGAACAAGGAAAGGGAGGGGUGUCCUGUGGGAGAGACCACUCUCCGUCCUUACACCCACCUUCACACAGCAUGUGACAAAGGGAUGGGGAAACAGGAGGGAAAAGAAGCCUUGCCUGGGGCAAUGUUAGCUGUGGGAAAGGAGUCUCCCCUGUCCCUGUUCCCUACCCAUCACCCACAGCUCCUUGUGUGCUCUUAAAGGUUCCAGAUUUGACCACUAUUCUCUGCAUGGUUCUCUUUUGGGCACCCACCACUCAGGGUCUUAUAUACUGGGACCAAAGACGAGACCUGCUCUAUCUUGGCCAAUAGCGGUUGUGAGAUGAAACAGAUACUUGAGAGAGCAAGUAUGCUGGGAACAACAUAAUGACGGCCACUUGAAGUAAAAGUCCCUGUACUUAGGACAGAUGCGGAAGAUAGUCAGACCAUUUGAAGGAGGGGAAGAGGGAAAGAAAGCAGCAGAGCUGCCUUGGGGGAGUCGAAGGGAAAGCCUAAUCAGCAAGGCAAGGCCCACGGACUGAUAGGUGCAGUUUUCCCUGCAGAAGGGCCCCUUUAAGCAUGAGUCUUUUGAAGCUGCAGUAAUAGGGUCGGUGGCGUAGACAGAGUCAAGAAGAGAGAUGAGUAGGUAAGAAGUCAAGGCCCAGGGGCAGGACCUGUGGAUUUCCAAGCCUGGGGAAGCAGGGACAGCCAGAACCUCCCACGGUCUCCUGGACCUCGCUGCGAACCAGCCGGGGAACAUUCCAGCCUAAUCGCUGCUCAGAUCGGUAGCAGCAGAGGCCAAGCCUUAGAAUUUGGCGCCUGCCGGCCCGCGAGUUCGCUCGCUAGGGGCAACCCAGCUGACCCAAGUGGGGACUUCGGAAACCCUUCAAUAGCUGGAGGCCCAUGGGGUUUCCCCUGUCUUCAGAUCCGGGGGA